GACGAACGCUGGCGGCGUGCUUAACACAUGCAAGUCGAACGGACAGACCCUGCUUUUGUUGGGUUCUCGAUUGGCGCACGCGUGUGUGUAACGCGUGUAACCUCCACCUAUCUUUCGGAUAACUCCUCGAAACUCCGGCUAAUACCGCAUAGGAGCUCCUGAUGCGCAGUGGUGGUUAGAAAGUGACGGCGGUUGGGGCUGGACUCGAGGCUUAUCGGCUUGUUGGUGGGGUAGUGGCUUACCAAGGCUUUGACGGGUAGCCGGCCUGAGAGGGUUACCGGGCACAAGGGUACUGAGAGACGGACCAGACUGCUACGGGAGGCAGCAGUGGGGAACAUUGCACAGUAGGCGGAAGCCUGAUGCAGCAGCGCCGCGUGCGGGAUGACGGCCUUCGGGUGGUGAACCGCUUUCGCCUGUGACAAAGCGGGAGUGACGGUAAUGGGUAAAGAAGCAACGGCUAACUACGUG
rnacentral:rRNA from 1 species